CACGUAGGGGCCAAGCGUUGUCCGGAUUUAUUGGGCGUAAAGAGCUCGUAGGCGAUUCGACAAGUCGGGUGUGAAAACUCCGGGCUCAACCCGGAGACGCCACCCGAUACUGUCGUGACUGGAGUCCGGUAGGGGAGUGGGGAAUUCCUGGUGUAGCGGUGAAAUGCGCAGAUAUCAGGAGGAACACCGGUGGCGAAGGCGCCACUCUGGGCCGGUACUGACGCUGAGGAGCGAAAGCGUGGGUAGCAAACAGG
rnacentral:rRNA from 1 species